UCAGAGCACAACCCAGGAGCUGUUUGAUACCAUGUACCUGGAAAGCCACAACACCAGAGCCCUGCACUGCUCUCCCUCCCCUCCAGGCUUCUCCACAGGAGCCACAACUGGAACGGGCACAGGAGCCAGCAGGAAACGUGCUGCCUGUCCUGCCACAGUGGAAAAUCUGCUGCAUUAUCAAUCACCUCAAUCUCCCAGCUUCGAGGAAGCCUGAGCUUUAGGUUCCCACACCCCAGCAGGCUUUAGGACUGUGUGAAAGAUUGGUCUGCAAGCAGAGCAUCCUGUGUCUCCAGGAUUGACAACACUCUGCCCUGGCUUCUCCAAGAUCACCCUGUCAGACUGAAGUCCAAGUCGCAGUCCUGUGCUCUGACCAAAAAGAAAUACCACCAAAAUCUUGUGCAGGACAGUAAAAGAAUGUGCUGGACCAUGGGGUCACGAAAUAAGGGGUCACUUAGCAAAGCAAUUCACUGGGAGAUGAAGCCUGGUGAUAGCUUCUGGCAUUUCAGACAAGCAUAAAGCCUUGAAAGCAAAGCCUUGUGCAGCCUGAAUCCUGAAAACUUCUCCAAAAGGAACAUCACUGCCAGGGAGGGAUGGACAGUUCCUUACAGAAGACUUGCAAGACAGUAACUCCACUCUUUGAACCAUGACUCCCCAAGAUAUCAGUAAAACAGGAGCAAGGACAAGUCUCAGUCUUGAAGGGAGGUUUGGAAACCUUGAAGACUCCUACUAAAUGA